rnacentral:lncRNA from 1 species
GAAGAAGGGAUGCAUAUAAAACAUUGAGUUUGUGCUUGUUUGAGAAGCAGAAGAAGAACGUGUACCAAGAAGUUCCUGUGCUUGCCCCCUGCUCUGGAUUAGGCUCCUCAUGCCUUCUGAAGUGAAAUUUGUAUUGAAAUCUGAGGUUGGUGUGGCUUGAGUGCUUGAAAUGAGUAGGAACAAUGCAACAAAUGUUAUUAGCUUCAUCUUCUUAGAGAGUUGGAAAAGCCAAAUUCCAAGAAAUGUUGGAAAAAUGUAUUUCUAGAGAUGGAAUAAGUGGCCUGAACAUGUCAUUUAAGAAAAAAGUGAAGAGGUGUCAAAUAUGGGAAAAAAGAAGGCGUGCAGAACAUUAUUGUAUGAAAAUUUGGCAAUUCUAAAACGAGGCUAAAUGUUAAAAAAGAAAAAAAAAAAGUUAGGGACGUUUGUUGAGCCAUUUUUGUCAUUAGAAGCAGAUGAAAAGAAAGCAUUCUGACUUGGGCACAUGCUCACAAAUAAGAAGUACUAUUACGGGGCCCAAAGCUGGGAUGCUGGAGGUCCGUUGCUAAUGUAUUUAAUUGGAUGAAAUGCUGUAAGAGUUUGAGGGAUAGUUGGGAUUGGAACAGCAAACAGAGUUGAAGUUUGAAGUGGUUUACUAUGGCUGUUAGGUGAAACGUGUUGGUGAUUCUUGUCAUUGUUAGUUAGUGCAAUUUUUCUGGUUUGCAACUUGUGCAUACCUGAGCUUUGCUUCUAAGGUCCUUUGUAGGUACACCUCCUUUGUAUAUGGCUUAUAUAUCUUAUAUGCAUAUUUUUUGGCAUUUAAAAAAAAGUAGAAGAGUGACAUGCUAAGAAUUGCCAGAAUGUGGAAAUUUGGAGAUAACUGAUCCAGAAUGUGGAUCAGGACCACAUCCCUGAGAUGUUUGAUAUAUACCAAACUUGGCCCUAUUGAUCAUCUUGUAGAAUGCAAAAUAACUUUAUGAUAAUGCCAAAACAUAAAAUUAAUACAUAGAUGGGUGAAAAUAAAUUUAGAAGAAAAGGAAGUAAUAUUUACAAAGCAUACACAAAAGUUUUUAAAGUAGAAACAAGGCUAGGCUUCAAAUAUCUUUAAGAUUUUCCGAAUGCCUACCUCAAUCACACACAGGUCGGCUUAAAAUUAAUUAUAGUUCACUUAAAGUAACCGAGGUUAACUUUAAAGUAACUAUAGUUACUAAACUAAAGUUACUUAAUGAGAAAAACUAAUUAGAGUUUAUGAAACCAUGAUUAUCUUACAAUUAUGAACUGACAAGUUUAACAUCUACUUUUUUACUAAAACACAUUAUUGGUAUGAAGCAUGAUCUUCUUUGUCUUGACUCUUAGAUUCUCUUGCUCUAAAACUUCAAUCAAAUAUGCCGUAGCAAUCAUCUCCAUUAUCUUAAAGACAAUUACUAGUAGUGGCCUGAGGAGUUGAUGUGGCCUCUUCCUCUCUUGAAGACAGUUACUAGUAUUGGUUUGAGAGGACCAAAAAUGAUUGUAGAGAAAUUGGAAGGACUAAAAAUGUUGUAAUAUUCACGCAUUGGCUUUUAUAUCUGACUGGGAUUGUCAUCUGCAUAAAUAAAAAACGUUAAAUAAGUAUUAUAAUGUCACAUAACCAUUUUAAAUCAAUCAAACUUUGUCAAGAAUGAAAGAAGAUGAAUUUUUUUAGGAUCGGGAUCAAAAACAUAUUUAAGAAAUUAUGUAGGGAAAAAAUAUUUAAACAAUAAAAUUCCAAUCAACAUUAAAUUUAAUAAAUUAUUUACUAAUUAAACUACUNNNNNNNNNNNNNNCCGGCUCUUCCCCCCCCCCCCCGCCAGUAACUCCUGCAUGUCCUCCCCUUCCGCCUCCUGCCCUUCCACCUUGUGCUUUCUUUGUAGCAACUGACAAUCCAUGUUUGUGUUCAUUUUCACUUUCCUCAACUUUGUCAUUGAACCUUGUUGAGUGAUCUAUGCUUCCACUUCCAUAUAAAUUCCCUGGAUUUCAGUAUAGUUAAAGUGAAGAAGGGAUGCAUAUAAAACAUUGAGUUUGUGCUUGUUUGAGAAGCAGAAGAAGAACGUGUACCAAGAAGUUCCUGUGCUUGCCCCCUGCUCUGGAUUAGGCUCCUCAUGCCUUCUGAAGUGAAAUUUGUAUUGAAAUCUGAGGUUGGUGUGGCUUGAGUGCUUGAAAUGAGUAGGAACAAUGCAACAAAUGUUAUUAGCUUCAUCUUCUUAGAGAGUUGGAAAAGCCAAAUUCCAAGAAAUGUUGGAAAAAUGUAUUUCUAGAGAUGGAAUAAGUGGCCUGAACAUGUCAUUUAAGAAAAAAGUGAAGAGGUGUCAAAUAUGGGAAAAAAGA